UGCGUAGGCGGAACUUUAAGUCAGUGGUGAAAUCCUGCAGCUUAACUGUAGAACUGUUAUUGAUACUGGUUUUCUUGAAUAUAGUUGAGGUAGGCGGAAUGUGUAAUGUAGCGGUGAAAUGCUUAGAUAUUACACAGAACACCGAUUGCGAAGGCAGCUUACUAAGCUAUGAUUGACGCUGAGGUACGAAAGCGUGGGGAGCGAACAGGAUUAGAUACCCUGGUAGUCC
rnacentral:rRNA from 1 species